CAUCAGCGUGCUCCGGGCGUCGG
rnacentral:siRNA from 1 species